CAGUCCCAUGCCCUGGAGAGCUUACACUUCUCAUUUAAAGCAAGAUGCAGUGACUGAGAAUGACAAGUAAUGAGAAGGCAGGACAAGAGUCAUAUGAGAAAGAUGAAUUGACUUCAGAGCAUGACCCUGCUUUUGAGAGAGGGCAAGGGCAAAAGUCCCCCUGGAUCAGAAGUGGAAAGCAUGGCUCAGUUGCUCUGAUUGACCUUUUCCAGAAAAUACAGGCCUGGGGUUUGUGAACUGCAGCCUUGUCACAGCUAAAUAUACUUGCCCAAACACCCACAUGCAAAGAGAGAGCCAGCAGAAUUUGUCUUCCAUGCACAGCAAGUGGAUAUGGUAAAGUGCAAAUAGCAGCAGUUCACAGUGAUCAAUACAUACCACAAAGUCUAUGCAACUGCAAUGUCUGUUUGGAUUGUACACAAACCUCUUCUGCAGGACCUGUAAUAGAUACUGUAUCAGUGCAGGGGCCAUGAUUCUGGCUAUUUUGACCAAAUUUUAUGUAUUGCUACAGCAGCACAACUUUCCAUGGGCUGUUGCAACUCAGCCUUACAGACAGAAAGGCAAGAGCCAGCUCGUAUCCUUGAGUGAUGUAAUACAGUGUGUUUUUCUGACAUG